GCCGUCUUAGCUCAGGGGUAGAGCACUUCCAUGGUAAGGAAGGGGUCGCUGGUUCAAUUCCAGUAGACGGCACCA
rnacentral:tRNA from 2 species